rnacentral:rRNA from 1 species
AUGAACGCUAGCGGCAGGCCUAACACAUGCAAGUCGAGGGGCGAGCACAGGUAGCAAUACUGGGUGGCGACCGGCGGAUGGGUGCGUAACGCGUAUGCAACCUACCAUUGAUUGGGGCAUAGCCCGAAGAAAUUCGGAUUAAUACUCCAUAAUAUUCAUCAAAGGCAUCUUUUAUGAAUUAAAGCUUUUGCGAUCAAUGAUGGGCAUGCGUGACAUUAGUUAGUUGGUGAGGUAACGGCUCACCAAAACGAUGAUGUCUAGGGGUUCUGAGAGGAUUAUCCCCCACACUGGUACUGAGACACGGACCAGACUCCUACGGGAGGCAGCAGUGAGGAAUAUUGGUCAAUGGACGCAAGUCUGAACCAGCCAUGCCGCGUGCAGGAUGACGGCCCUAUGGGUUGUAAACUGCUUUUCCACGGGAAGAACCCUCCGACGUGUCGGAGACUGACGGUACCGUGGGAAUAAGCAUCGGCUAACUCCGUG